rnacentral:rRNA from 1 species
AGAGUUUGAUCCUGGCUCAGGACGAACGCUGGCGGCGUGCCUAAUACAUGCAAGUCGAGCGAAUGACGAGAAGCUUGCUUCUCUGAUUUAGCGGCGGACGGGUGAGUAACACGUGGGCAACCUGCCCUACAGAUCGGGAUAACUCAGGGAAACCUGGGCUAAUACCGGAUAAUCCUUCGAAUCACAUGUUUUGAAGUUGAAAGGCGCUUCGGCGUCACUGUAGGAUGGGCCCGCGGUGCAUUAGCUAGUUGGUGGGGUAACGGCCUACCAAGGCAACGAUGCAUAGCCGACCUGAGAGGGUGAUCGGCCACAUUGGGACUGAGACACGGCCCAAACUCCUACGGGAGGCAGCAGUAGGGAAUCUUCCACAAUGGACGAAAGUCUGAUGGAGCAACGCCGCGUGAGUGAUGAAGGUUUUCGGAUCGUAAAACUCUGUUGUAAGGGAAGAACAAGUACGUUAGGAAAUGAACGUACCUUGACGGUACCUUAUUAGAAAGCCACGGCUAACUACGUGCCAGCAGCCGCGGUAAUACGUAGGUGGCAAGCGUUGUCCGGAUUUAUUGGGCGUAAAGCGCGCGCAGGUGGUUUCUUAAGUCUGAUGUGAAAGCCCACGGCUCAACCGUGGAGGGUCAUUGGAAACUGGGGAACUUGAGUGCAGAAGAGGAUAGUGGAAUUCCAAGUGUAGCGGUGAAAUGCGUAGAGAUUUGGAGGAACACCAGUGGCGAAGGCGACUGUCUGGUCUGUAACUGACACUGAGGCGCGAAAGCGUGGGGAGCAAACAGGAUUAGAUACCCUGGUAGUCCACGCCGUAAAC